rnacentral:misc_RNA from 1 species
UAACAGAGAAGACCUGGCAUGCAG